rnacentral:rRNA from 1 species
GACGAACGCUGGCGGCGUGCUUAACACAUGCAAGUCGAACGGAAAGGCCCUGCUUUUGUGGGGUGCUCGAGUGGCGAACGGGUGAGUAACACGUGUGUAACCUGCCCUUGACUUUGGGAUAACUUCAGGAAACUGGGGCUAAUACCGGAUAGGAGCUCCUGCUGCAUGGUGGGGGUUGGAAAGUUUCGGCGGUUGGGGAUGGACUCGCGGCUUAUCAGCUUGUUGGUGGGGUAGUGGCUUACCAAGGCUUUGACGGGUAGCCGGCCUGAGAGGGUGACCGGCCACUUUGGGACUGAGAUACGGCCCAGACUCCUACGGGAGGCAGCAGUGGGGAAUAUUGCACAAUGGGCGGAAGCCUGAUGCAGCAACGCCGCGUGCGGGAUGACGGCCUUCGGGUUGUAAACCGCUUUCGCCUGUGACGAAGCGUGAGUGACGGUAAUGGGUAAAGAAGCACCGGCUAACUACGUG